GUCAAAGGAGAUCAUUUUGGAGCUUUAGAAUUUGACUGCCCCGCUGGACUUCAGACUUUCAUGCGCCCUGCCAUCCCUUUGUUUGGGCUAAUUUCUCUCAUUUGGAACAGGUGUAUUUACCCCCCUUGUAUCUAGGAAUCUCGGAUAAGUCUUUAUCAGCAAAGUGAACACAGACUAAUACACUCGACCACUACAUGGCAGUACUAUCCUUUUGAUAUGUGGACUGAGGGAAGAUACCAGUGUCGAUCAGUAUCUUAAAGACAUGAGAUGAUGAACCUCAAGUACCACCCCAGACAACAAGGCUGCUUCAUCAGGACACAAACCUGCCUGUACCAGGACCUCUGACCUGUGUGCAGGAAACCAGCACUGAAUUCCAAGACAAAACAACCCUUCUUAAAGACAUACAAGAAACCUUGCCUGAUAUACAAAUAUAAUAACCUUAAAAAAAAUUCACAGACCUGAG
rnacentral:lncRNA from 1 species